GGCAGGUGUGGUUUUUAUCAGCUUCUGAAUAACUGCACAGGACACCUCUCUGAAUCCAGGAAUAAAGGCCAGAUCUUGAGCCAGGGGAGUCAUUUGGCUGGAGACAGCACUCCACAGAGCUGGUUUGUUCACAGGCAACAGGAGAUCAUCUAUUUUUCAUCAUGAUGAUGCUAUUUCUGAAUAAGAGAGAAAAAUGCAGGCUUAUUUCUGAAGCAUAUGAUUUAUUUUUUGGCCUUUAAAAUUUUGUUUAUUUUGAAUGGAAGCCCAGAAUGCACAUAAUGUAGCAAAAAAACUGCAGAUACAGACAGGGAUUUUUGUUUCACCUUUCAAGUUACUCCCACUCCUGGUGCUAGGGCAGUAACAUUUGAAAAGGCUUUGGAUGUUUUCCCUUUCCUUGAAAAGAAACAAAUGAAAAUAAUGAUCCUGAAGCAAUACUGAAGACACCUGCUUCCAGAUAAUUCUGCUAAAAGCAGCAAGGUACAACCAAGCACCCCUGGGAGAUGAAGAAAAUAUCCUGAGAACUGCCACCCUCACAGUUUCCCUGGGACUGCAGUUCCUGUGCUCCUGGAGAUGUAGCAAGGGGAUGAAUACGAGCUCCCCAGACAGUCCUGAUGUGAAGGAAUCCCUGGCUGCAGACUGGACCUCAGCAAGGAUAAGACCCAUCAGCUUUUGGGCACCAGGUAUCGGAUCGAACUCCAGGCAGUGAAUGUUUCAUCCUGCUGAAGCUUGUUCUCUCUGUGCUGGACUGCUCUUCAGCUGACAAAUCUACACUACUGAUGUCACAUCUGAAUUGCCAGGAUUGACCCAAGAAGAAAAACUUCUGGCAAAGCUGAUAGACAAAGUGAACAGAAGAGGUCAGUGACAAGACAA